rnacentral:tRNA from 1 species
AGAAACUUAGGAUAAUUAUUAAACCAAGGACCUUCAAAGCCCUAAAUAGGGAGUUAAACCCCUAGUUUCUG